UGUACUUCUUCUCCUCAUAGUUUGAGUCUGUGUACUCCAGGAGCAGGCGGAUGGAGUGAGCCAGCUGCGAGAAGCCACGGCAGAGUCAGGGGCGAAAAGUCAGCCUGCCUGCCUUUCUCUGCUCCAGAGGCCUGUGCGGGACAGCAAUACACACUGUGUCACAUAUCGAGUCCCAGUCCCGACCUCUAGUCUUGCUUCCGGACUGCUCGCCAUACCUUCCAGCUCCCCUGCUCACAUGCUGAACUUGCGAGGUUAAUUCACAAAAAUUCUAUGUAAAGUGGCCUCAGAAUGCAAAGCUGCCUAUGACAAAUGAAAACCAACAGUAGAAUUAAAAUGUGUCCUACUCAUGACCUAAUCAAGUCAACAACUCAGCUCAUCUUGAAAGCAAAACAAGUAGCCUUGACUGAUAUGCUCCCAAACCAAGAAACUACUACUCUGAGAAAGGAUCAAAGCAGUAAAUUUCUUAUGUUAACUCUGCAAAAUAGUCCCGAAAACUGAUAAAACUUAGUGUCUUUUUAAAAAUAAACAUUUAGAGACCAUCUGGUGGGUCUGCAUCCCUAGCUCUUUGUCUUGCAACAGCCUGUAAAUCCCCUAGACAACGCACCACCACGGGCUCUCUUGUCCCCUCCUGGCUCACCCCAGGAGCUCUGUCUGUCCUCUCACUGUAUCUCUCAAUAAAAGUCUCCCUGGCUCUCCUACCUUGACUGUUUGCUAAGUUCAUUCUUCAAGUCCGCAAACAAGAACCCCAGCAUCACUAAGUCAGGGACGUCUUCACUGGAAAAGGUCACUACCGCUCACCUCACUUCAGUGACCCUGACAGCAGAAGAGAACAUCCAACUGUUACAAGUGCAGGGAAAUUUAUUAAAGGGAAAUUGUGGAUAAAAUGAGAGUGCCUGUGGCCAGGAUUCUCACCUGGCCCUGGUUGACUAGCUCACUGCACA